GGAGAAAGAGAUGGAGAAGCAGAUGGAUAACUGCAGCUUGACAGGAGACGCCAGGCCUCCAACUACACAGUGUUCAGUCCAGGGCUCUCCCAUCAGGUCCAGGCCCCUCCUCCCCUUUACCUUUGCCACACCACAGCUGCUACGUCCACACCCCAUGUCUGCCAGGCUGGUACAGACUGACAGGCGUGUGCACAGAUCCAGGCAGGAGGAACAUGUUCAGUCAAUCG